UAAGGUUUAACCACGAACCCGGACACAAAGUUCUGAUGAUGUCCAGUGUAAUAGACACGAGUGAACCUCUCCAUGAGCAAAGUUGGGCUCCAGCCUUGCAGUCACCACCUCUAUGGGGACGCCUGAUAUCUGUGCUGGAAGUGGUCUCAGAAAGGUGAAGGUGAAGGACAAUGAGGUUCAGGACUGCUUGGCUGGGGCUGACUUACUGGGACUGUGAGACUUGCCCUAAAGGGCGGAGCCCCUGAACGUACCUCAAACAAGAACCUUCCCUCCAUAGCAAGGCAUCCCUCAAACAGAUGGGAAUUUCAGCAGCUAAUCGGACAAACACUGCCAUACAGCUACCUUCCAGCUCUGCGUUCCUCACUAUGAAGACAUCGAAUAUUCUUAUUCCACCAUUUCGUUGGAGCUUUUAAAGGAGCUGCCAGAAGAUGGCGGUCUAUGCCAGAAUGACCAGCACAAUGAGAAUAAAAGGCAAAAUGAAAUCUAAUUUUUCAUCUGAGAGAAAUGUUUGUUUAAAGAGGCUGGCCUCUGUUGCUGAUAGCAGGAAAUUUACAUCAAAAUGUGGACUGUUUAUGUGGAUUUAUUUAUUUAACCAUUGGACCUUUUGCUUAAAAGAUGGAUUUGAUGCCUAGAUUGAAACUUGGACCAUUACAUUUGUCCAUGGUUUGGAGGCUUCUCCCACAAAACAGGUUUGAGGACAUCUCAGGAUCCCUGUAUGUCUGCAGCUGAUGACAGCACUAGGUGUGACUUCCCAUGGGGACAUCUGAAUGGGACACAAGCAGAAUACACACAUUCUUUAGCAAGCCUCCCUGUGCCCCUGUAUGGAAGGAGAAUGGGAGCCAAACAAGCCCAAGUUGGUCGCCUGCGUUCUAAACAUGAGUUUCUCUCUUCUGGAACAGAAAACCCUUCUUUGUCAAACCUGUUAGUGCUUUUGUUCUGGGAAUAAUAGCUAAAGACAACUUACACAGCCUGAGCUGGGAACUCUGCCUUAAAUCCGGACCUGACACUAUUCACAAGCUCUUGACAGGGACAAAAAAGGGGAAAUUAGGCCUAAAAUCUAGCAGGCAGAUGUCCAGGGUUAAAACAGGUUAUUUGUUAAUUGCUUUUGUGUUUUUAAGGGAAGGGAAUUGAUGGUUGAGGAAGAGAUCUUUUAGAAAAAUAAUAAAAUACAAACAGUUAGCACUCCACAUGUGAAGUGAUUCAUUUCACAGUGAUUCAUAUUUCUGGCUAUUAAUAUGGAUGAGUUAAACGAGACGCACGCUGCACACUGUCUGUUCACUUGUGUUAGGGGAUAAAUGUGUGGGACACUGUGAAUGGAAGACCAGAUAAAGAACUAAUCCAGAUUUAACACGUCAAUUUCUCACUAAUGUUCCACACUGCUAUUGUGGCGUCUUUCUCUUCUCUAUAGUGGUCAGCAAUCUCGUAAAAGAUUUAAUUCUUAAGUCUUUAUGUCUUUAUUUAAUCUACUGCUCCAUUAGGAGGAGCAGCUUAUUCAAGUACAUUGCCGGACUUGUUGUUCUUGUAUAUGUUUAUUAGAGAUGAGCGGGUUCGGAUUUAACGCCAGAAUUAACGCCAGUUCGGUUUUAUCUGGAUUUUUUCUAUUGGCUAUCCAAAACACGUGACAUCCGUGAGCCAAUAAGAUGCCGUUUUGAGAACUGAGUAAAACCGAGUAAAACCGAACCCGCUCAUCUCUAAUGUUUAUAUGUCAAGCUUAUUAUAUAAUAGUGCUGUGCAUACGGUCACUCAUACCAAGAUUUGAAUUAAUUGCUGAGUCUGCAAAAGUUUUCCAAGUCUCAGAUAUGAAGCAUGAAUUGAAAGCAUGGCUAUGUUAUAAACAAAUAAUUUUAUAAUAUACGUUUGUUAUUAUGGCUUAAAAUAAAGAGAAAACAUUGCGAAUGUCUACAAAUGAAACCAUUAUCGUUUUAGAAUUAUGAAGCCUAUUGUAAAAUUGAGCAGAAAAUGACAGGAUGAAUGUGAUGAAGGCCUCCCAGUGAUUUAUAUGAAGACUAUGCAGCAGGGCCGUAACUAGGGGGGGGCUAAGGGGGCAUGCGCCCCGGGUGCAGGAAUUGUGGGGGUGCUGAGGAGUUACAGAGGAAUAGGGUUUUUUUUUUUUUACCAGCAGUGCUGUGCUGCUCCAGUGAGACAGCAGACUGCUCCCGGGCAAUGUCUCUGACCCACCUGUCUGCACACAGUUGGCUCCGACGCUAUGCGGAUGAGCUCCAGUACCUGGGACCUCUCCUAUGCUGGCUACUGUCUUAAACUCUCUUCUUUGCCAUGCAGUGCUGCGACUAGCAUGCAGUGAACUGUGCAAGCUAUAGAGGUGAGCUGUUGGUGCAGUGUUUUUAAGCAGGCUAUGAUCCCUGCUGCCUGGCCAGCACCGACCGAUAACAGUCUAUGGGGGUUAUUCAGAGUUAGAUUUGGGUGGGGUGUGUUCAAACGGAAUUCUAAAUUGCAGUGUAAAAAUAAAGCAGUCAGUUUUUACCCUGCACAGAAACAAUAUAACCCACCCAAAUAUAACUCUCUCUGCACAUGUUACAUAUGCCCCACCUGCAGUGCAACAUGGUUUUGCCAAAUUGCGAACUUUUUUGGUUUGCUAACAGCUCUGAAUCACCCCCUAGGUUGCUUCUUAUAUACUUCGCUUUGCGGCCCUCACCUCUUGGGCCUGAUGUAAAAGCCUGCAAGAUGCCGGUUCUGGUGCAAUUUCCGGCGAGUUACCCAUAUUUUUACCACGGCAAGUAAUUAAAAGGCAGAGACAUUGGUUUCGCCAUUGAAAUUAUUUCUGUUUUAAAAAGACGGGCUCACACGUCAGAUUUGUGCCUGCAUCUUAUAUUGAUUCUAUUGUGCGUCACUUCUUUUAUUAGUGAGUACAGUCAUGUGAACAUGAUUGCAGCCUUAUAAACACAACAUGCAGACACUGUGAUGGAGCGUAAUGGUGCAUGGUGAUACAUAUGCCCUUUACAUUGAGUUACACACGCUGGAGGCAUGAGGUUCACUCUGUACAGGAUGUGUUUAGUUGGAGUUGCUCAACUUAAACUGUAAGAGUAUAUUGUGUCCAAAAAGGAUGACAUUUUGCUAUGAUGAAUUGGCAAUGCCACAAGAUGCAGCCAGUUCUUCAUGGGUAGCAUAUGUGUCUUUUAGUCUUCAUCACCAUUCUGUAACGUGCAUCAGGGUGAGAACCCCCAAGUUUCCUAACUCCUGAGUCUUCAUAGGUUGCAUUUAAGCCAACAUGAACACAUUGUACUUUGGCCAUGCCUACACACUUCCUCUUUCCGUGGACCCAUCGCUUCAAGUGUAAGGAGCUGCAAGCAGUCGUAAGUGCAAGAUGUGAUAGACUUUACAUGGAUUCAUCCAUAAAUUGUGCAUUGCAUGCAUACACGGAACUAAAACGUGUAUUGUUUUACUUAUCAGCAAAAUGCACUUUCCAUCCAACUCAACACGACCCCCUUUAUCAUUUCAUAAUAGUGUAAUGGGGCACUCAAUGUCACUUACUCUAUUUUAUUAAAUUACAUUUGCAUUCAAUUGGUGUAACUAUUAAGAAAUAAUGAUUAAAUAAUAUUUUUGUUGAUCAAUUUACUUUAUAAAGGUAGUAAUAGAUCUGCUUGCAGAGCUCACAAUUCACUUGAGAACCAUUGUUUUAGAAAUAAUAUUACAAUGGCUCCCUUUCUUUCUUUCAAAUGCAAAAAUAGUCUGUUGUCCACUUUAGCCAAUAUGCUCACUUCAGUGUCUUCCUUGGUGCACAGUAAUUUACCGGUUGUGGCUGAUCUGUGCACCUUUGUGGUUUUGUUUGCAUUUGCCAAUAGCAACUGAUGUCUAAACACAGCUUACCUGUAUUAAACAGUCAUCCAGGAACAAACUAUUAACAACAACAUGACUUUAUUAUGGGAGUGCUCACAAUCAGCGCCUAAGGUCCAACCUCCUAGUAGAUUAUAUUGGUAGAUCCUAUGAUGGUAAUAGGUGGAAGUUACUCGUCGCAGUAGAUAACUUUACCAGGGAUUGGUUUAUUAAUGGGUAGAAAGCAGGUGCAGAAUAACAGUGAGCAGCUUGUACAGGAUGCGGUAUCUCCAGUUGCAUCCAGGAACAUAUGGAGAUAAUGCUGGUUGUGUAAUACAUCCUCUUAUGCAUAUACAUACAUACACAGUAGUUGCGUAGGAAUCUCUAAUAUGAGUAGAGUUGGUGCUGCAGUGGUAUAGUGGGGUCUCUAUCCUUCACUAUGGGAUUUUGGAGAGAAGAACACGUGUGUAGAAUCGCACAUGUGCGGUCACAUGUCUGACUAGGUCUGAGAUUGCGCUUCUGGCAGUCCUGGGUCUUAAUGCCCAGACAGUAGACAGAACACUGUGUGCAGAGCACUCUCCUCCAACACUUUACAGACUUUCAUUCACUUCAUAGUUUCAGUUUUUAUUUCCUAAAAAUCUCCUAAAGUAAGUAUCAUUUAUAUCUUAAAUUGAUCAAAUAUGUUAGGAGACACCUAAAUUGUCCUGGGUACAUGUAAAUGUUUUUGUGUUUGAUGGUUUAUUUUUCACAGUGAGCAGAAGGUGCCUAAAAAGUAGUGAUGAGCGGGUUCGGUUUUACUCGGUUCUACUCGGUUCUCAAAACGGCAUCUUAUUGGCUCACGGAUGUCACGUGUUUUGGAUAGCCAAUAAGAUGGCAUUUUGAGAACCGAGUAAAACCGAGUAAAACCGAACCAGCUCAUCACUACUAAAAAGUCCAUGUAAAUUAUAGGAUGUGGCACAAUCUCUGCAAUCAAAGAUCUAGUGAAGAAAGAAAGAAAGAAAGAAAGAAAGAAAGAAAGAAAGAAAGAAAGAAAGAAAGAAAGAAAGAAAGAAAGAAAGAAAAAGUUUUAACUGGGAAACAACAGUUCCUUUGUUCCACAAAACAAGGGCCAUCACUAAAAAUCCUCAAUCUAUAAUUGCAUAAUCCCACUGCGCCAAUUUAAAAUCUAAUUUGUUUCACCGUUCCCAAAGAACUAUGCAUAUUGGGUUAUAACACAGAUUGUCGGCAAAAACGCAAGCAUGUUGCAAUCUUUUUAUGGGGGUGUUUGAGACACACUAGCAGUUGGUGCAGUGUGACUAUUUGGUUAUAUGGAUUUACAUUUCAUAUACUGUACAUCAGGAGUUGUACAGAAAAAUCUACUGAAGUGACACAGGUCUGAUUGCUGCAUCUUUAUGUGGACAUUUCUGGAACUUUUUGGAGUGCUUUGGGACAUAUACCUUCUUGUAUAUUAUUUCAUAUACAGUAUCUGGUGGUAGAUUCUAGUGGCUCUCAAAGGUCAUUAUAGACCGCACCUGUGUACUGUUUACAUCACAAACUACUUUGGGGAAAAUCUUAGCUCACACUCAUAUAUACAUUAAGAUACUUUGUAAAUUACUUAUAUUGUGUUGCAUGUAAUAAAUAAACCUUUGUGUCGAAAAAUAAAACCCAUGACGGAUUAUUCCA